CUAGCCGUAAAUGAUGGAUACUAGGUGUGGGUGUCGCAGGGCAUCCGUGCCGCAGUUAACGCGUUAAGUAUCCCGCCUGGGGACUACGGUCGCAAGACUGAAACUCAAAGGAAUUGACGGGGGCCCGCACAAGCGGUGGAGCACGUGGUUUAAUUCGAUGCAAACCGAAGAACCUUACCUAGGCUUGACAUGCAAGUAGUAUUGAAGCGAAAGUGGAAAGACCCUAGCUUGCUAGGGAGCUUGCACAGGUGC
rnacentral:rRNA from 1 species